UCCCGGGGAACAUUCAACGCUGUCGGUGAGUUUGUGGCUGUGGGUGAAACCACCGAGCGUGACACCGUGGGG
rnacentral:pre_miRNA from 1 species